AGAGUUUGAUCCUGGCUCAGGAUGAACGCUGGCGGCGUGCUUAACACAUGCAAGUCGAACGGUGAAGCCCAGCUUGCUGGGUGGAUCAGUGGCGAACGGGUGAGUAACACGUGAGCAACCUGCCCCUGACUCUGGGAUAAGCGCUGGAAACGGCGUCUAAUACUGGAUACGAGCAACGGCCGCAUGGCCAGUUGUUGGAAAGAAUUUUGGUUGGGGAUGGGCUCGCGGCCUAUCAGCUUGUUGGUGAGGUAAUGGCUCACCAAGGCGUCGACGGGUAGCCGGCCUGAGAGGGUGACCGGCCACACUGGGACUGAGACACGGCCCAGACUCCUACGGGAGGCAGCAGUGGGGAAUAUUGCACAAUGGGCGGAAGCCUGAUGCAGCAACGCCGCGUGAGGGAUGACGGCCUUCGGGUUGUAAACCUCUUUUAGCAGGGAAGAAGCGAAAGUGACGGUACCUGCAGAAAAAGCGCCGGCUAACUACGUGCCAGCAGCCGCGGUAAU
rnacentral:rRNA from 1 species